AGUAAUGUCUGGGAGACUGCCUGAUGGAGGGGGAUAACUACUGGAAACGGUAGCUAAUACCGCAUAACGUCGCAAGACCAAAGAGGGGGACCUUCGGGCCUCUUGCCAUCGGAUGUGCCCAGAUGGGAUUAGCUAGCAGGUGGGGUAACGGCUCACCUAGGCGACGAUCCCUAGCUGGUCUGAGCGGAUGACCAGCCACACUGGAACUGAGACACGGUCCAG
rnacentral:rRNA from 1 species